CCAUUUCAGCAGUAGCUUGUCCAGCCAGGAACUGUAAAAACCUGACAAUCUAGAGUCAAUAAAACCUUGGAAGACCUGUUUUACAGCACCGUCGGAAUUAAAAUUUUUUCCUAUCAAAAUGUUAUCCAAAUUCUGGAAGAAGUGGUAGUCAGUGGGGGCAAGAUCAGUGAUUUUUUGUAAAAAU